AGCUUUGUGCAGUGGCAGUAUCGUAGCCAAUGAGGUUUAUUCAAGGCACGAUUAUUGCUAAUUGAAAACAAUAUAAAUAUAUUAUGGUAACUCUAACCAAGAAAGUUAAAGACCUAUAUGACAAGAACUUCAAAUCUUUGAAGAU